AUUGAACGCUGGCGGCAGGCUUAACACAUGCAAGUCGAGCGGGGACUUCGGUCCUAGCGGCGAACGGGUGAGGAAUGCUUGGGAAUCUGCCCAGUAGCGGGGGAUAACGUUUCGAAAGGAACGCUAAUACCGCAUACGCCCUACGGGGGAAAGGGGGGGUUCUUCGGACCUCUCACUAUUGGAUGAGCCCAAGUCGGAUUAGCUAGUUGGUGGGGUAAAGGCCUACCAAGGCGACGAUCCGUAGCUGGUCUGAGAGGAUGAUCAGCCACACUGGACCUGAGACACGGUCCAGACUCCUACGGGAGGCAGCAGUGGGGAAUAUUGGACAAUGGGCGAAAGCCUGAUCCAGCCAUGCCGCGUGUGUGAAGAAGGCCUUCGGGUUGUAAAGCACUUUAAGCGAGGAGGAAUGGCUGAGGGUUAAUAACCUUCAGCAGUGACGUUACUCGCAGAAUAAGCACCGGCUAACUCUGUGCCAGCAGCCGCCGUAACAC
rnacentral:rRNA from 1 species